ensembl:lncRNA
AAAGUGUCUUCCAUACAACGGGUAUAAUGGGUACCCGAAGCGAAAGUGUUUUUCGUAUGCGGAAUCCGGGAAAAUCAUGAAUAUUAAUGAGGGCAUAGACGGAGAUUAUCCUAUCACGUUGGUUAAAUCCCUGAUCCAAUCUGAAAAGGCCAAAAUCGGUCACAUGACUGCACCGUCGGCGCGAUCCAUUAAAGAAGGGUGCGAUCGACCGAUCGCAUAGAAGAGGACAGCUGUGACACAGAGGACAUAGCAGAUGUGUGAUCACGCAAUUGUCCAGGACAACCUGUCCAAUUAUCCAGUGCUGAAGAACCUUUUGCCAGAGGACUACAGCUAUCACGUGUGCUCCUUUGAGUCACAGGGGGACCAAAACAAUUUCAGGACUAACCUGAAGUUAAGGUUGACCCGGGAGGAGGAGGUGCAGAAGUGGCAGGAGGAUUUCCAGGCGUCCUCAGGCUUAACGUGGCGAAAGUCAAAGACCUAUCCAGAUGCUGGUGAUGGCUCUAACAAGUACAGGGUUGACUUGAGGUGCCACCACAACACCCGCACCAGUACUGCCAAGACUAGCAAAAACACCUCCUGCCCUGCAUUUAUGUACCUGAUUCUGAAAAGACAGACGUAUAGUAAAGGGCGGAAGUCAAGGUCUGAAGACCCCCACAUCAAGGAGGGGUACUACUUCCAUGUUGUUGUGAAAAACAGCCACAACCACUGUGUGCCCUUUGCGGCAGUCUCGGCUAAGAGAGAUGUCUCAAAAGAGACCGAAGGAAAAACUGAAGAAACUCUUUGAAAGUGGCCGGUUGCCAGGAAUCUCAUUCUGUCUCUUGUUAGGUAACGGAGGCAUCAAACAAAAGCAAAUCUACGUCAACUAAACUAGACAUUAAACCCUCCUUCAGGUGGAGGGGAUGCCCAAACUGAGUUCUGUGAGGACUUUCCUCCAGAUGACACAUGAGUCAAUAUCACUAUGAAGUGCCUUUGGUGUCCUCAUCAGACUCACUCAGUCAUCAUGAAAAUGUAGCAGAAUAAUGAAAGUUUGAGGUCUUAUUAUAAGUGGCCAAACAUUUGCACACAUAUCAGUACAAUGAUAAGUCUCUUAAAAUGUGUUUCCUUCAUUUUACACAUAUUUUUUUCAUUUGAUGUACUUGAUUUUGGCAUGUCCCACACACUGCUCUGCUAACUACAAUGUGUGUAAUAAGUGGUUAAAUGAUACUAAAUAAAAAAAGAAUUUACAUGGUUUUAUUGUCCACGAUAAGUUAUUUGAUAAAACAAGUAAUUUUGAUCAUGUAUAUUCUAUUUUCAUAAUCAUAUUGAACAUUUUGCAUGUGUCCCUGAGAAUUGCUGUCCACCCUGUCAUUAUGGGGUAACUGACCCUUUAAGAAACCCUCUGAUGUUUUCAAUGACAUCACUACAAGCAUUUUGUCUUUCUUCAAUGGAGGCUGAAGCAGUGGCUAAUUGCAGAGUAAGUAUUUACACUUAUGUUUCGUAAUUUUCAUCAUAUUAUGUGUGUAGUUGGAUGUUGUCAAGCUUAACAUGUUCACUCUGUCAUCUUGAAAUAUCAAUUGAUAGAAUAUAUCAAUUGAUAAAUAUAUUUGUAAAAAAAAUGCCAAAAAUGUCCACCCCGUCAUUGUCCACCCUGUCAGCAAGCCUUCCAUGACAGGGUGGACAUGGUUCAUGACAGGAAGGACAUCCACUUAUUGUGGACAGUUUAGGCCACAUGCUGAUAAUGUUACACAUAUUACAACAGCUAUUACACACAUUUUAUAGCAGUACAUGCUAUACAUAGUGAGAAUGGACAAUAUGGAGAAAUAAAAUUGGCGAUAUCUGUAUCAGCAAGCCUAGUUUGAUAA